rfam:Beta vulgaris subsp. vulgaris Bvchr1.sca004.con0086.1, whole genome shotgun sequence.
AGGUUAUGGUGAGGGCAUUCUCUCUGCAAGUCUUUGAACCUAUUCCAUGCUUCCUUCAGUGUCUCAUCAAGUUCUUGUUGGAAGGUAGCAAAAUUAUGUUGAAUUCU